AUUGAACGCUGGCGGCAUGCCUUACACAUGCAAGUCGAACGGUAACAGGUCUUCGGAUGCUGACGAGUGGCGAACGGGUGAGUAAUACAUCGGAACGUGCCCGAUCGUGGGGGAUAACGCAGCGAAAGCUGUGCUAAUACCGCAUACGAUCUACGGAUGAAAGCGGGGGAUCGCAAGACCUCGCGCGGACGGAGCGGCCGAUGGCAGAUUAGGUAGUUGGUGGGAUAAAAGCUUACCAAGCCGACGAUCUGUAGCUGGUCUUAGAGGACGACCAGCCACACUGGGACUGAGGCACGGCCCAGACUCCUACGGGAGGCAGCAGUGGGGAAUUUUGGACAAUGGGCGCAAGCCUGAUCCAGCCAUGCCGCGUGCAGGAUGAAGGCCUUCGGGUUGUAAACUGCUUUUGUACGGAACGAAAAAGCUCUCUCUAAUACAGGGGGUGAAUGACGGUACCGUAAGAAUAAGCACCGGCUAACUACGUG
rnacentral:rRNA from 1 species